GUCUCAGAAAACCAAAGGGUUUGGGGAUGCAGUUCAUUCAGUGGUGAAGUGAUCCUAGGUUAAGACCUCCACACCAAAAAUAAAUAGAUUAUUUUUAAAAAGAAGAAGUAAGGGAAAAGCCUGAACUGCCUGAAAUUGCCCUCAGCCUCCCCAGCCGGGACCGGGACAGCCGGCGAGGAUAUCUGGGGGCACCUCUAGGGGCAUGGAGGCAACGAGCGCACGGGUAUCUCUUAAAGCAGAAAUGGUAACACGCUUUUAACCGCGGAGGUGGCGCGGGUGGGGCCCACAAGUGUUGCCCGGUAAAGGGCUCCCCGCUUCCGCCGCAGGAAGCCGCCUGAGGGGGCGCCCGGAGGAACCCCAGGCCUCGAGCGGCCGUGGCUGGUCAGUUGGCACAAGUGGAAGGAAGUUCUACUUGAAGAGGAUUGAAGGAAGAGUCAGUUCUUAGUAGAACAGAAAGAUGGAGAGCAACACGUACAGUUAUUGGCGAUGGAAUCCAGGGUCUCGCACAUGCUAGAAAGCACUCUUCCACCAAAUUAAACCUACAGCCCUAUUCUUUGUUUUUUGUUUUCUUUUGUUUUAAUUCUAGAAAAAUGCAUAAGCAAAAGACUUCUAUAAUCCCAAUUACUUGAAUUUGCUACUGUUAAUACUGUUAUAAUGUUUCAUAUUUUCUUCCUGUGCACAUGUGUUUCUCUGUAGUUUAUUUAU